rnacentral:lncRNA from 1 species
CUGGGUUCUGUUGUUGGCAACCAACAGAGUUGUUGUCUUUUCUCGCAUUCAUUAAAAUGCACAAGAAGAAAUUUCUAAUGGUGAGGGAGUACUUGCUUCAAAUUCAUACUUCAGUGAAAUAAACAACACCAUACAUAGGAAUGGUUCAGGAAAUACAUGUGCAGUGAAAGCAAAGUCAUCAUACACUGUUUGCUUCAUUGUAUGAGAAUCAAUGUUUGCAUGAUAAACUGCCCUAAUGGAAGAGGACUCUGAGUUACCUUUUUCGAGCAAAGCCACCUAGGUUACUCUGUUUUCCCCAGAGUGACCCUUCUGUUCUGCAAAUUUUCAGAUUGAAGGGAGUAGCAGUAGAGUAUCAGAAGUAUCAGAAGCAAAAAAGUAAAUGUAUGAUUUGCAAAGCAUAACAAAAUGAAAAAUAAGCUUCUGCAGUCAUGGAAGUUCAGAAUUGGAUAACAACUUAGAUUAUUUAUUCCAACCUCAUCGAAAAAGAGAUAAAGACAUGGAAUUCAGGAAAAGUGGUGAGGAAGCAAAUUCAGAAAUGUAUGACUAGGAAUAUGGAAGCAACUGAAUAUGAGGUUAGAAUGUGAAACUGAAUUUAAAGGUGUAACUUGGGCCUGACUGAAAUAUAGCAAUUUAGCAGAAGUGGGAUUAAUUAUGUAGCCUUACCUAGUUGUACACAAGAUCAGGCUGGGACUGAAAUUCUACAAUAUGACUCCAUACCACCAAAAGAAUUCCAGCCCUCUGAGCAGUAGGAAAGAGAGUUUUGUUUUCUUGUAACCAGAACAUAAACUUUUGAUAGUCAUAACCUUUAUUUCAGUCUAUAAAUUUAGAUAUUGAUGGGGUUCAAAACAUUCUAUCCCCAAAUAUGGCACCAUGGAAUUUGAGCAAACGGCAAAAGUAGAAAGAUCACCCUUUGACUUUCUCCUGCCCUCCUCCUCUGAAAUCAGGUCAAGAGCCCCUCAUUUGAGAGGUGCUGUCCCUAUGCCCAGAGGAAAGAACAUCCUUAUCUAUAAAGACACAAAUAUAUAAAAAAUAAUCUGAACAGUAGGUCUUGUUAAGCGACUCCCCCUGAGUUUAUUACCACUGGAUCAUAUCCCUUUGCUUAAUCACACUUCCGUGCAACUGUCCACUUUUGUUCAAAUCUAAGCAUAAAAAUACAUAGGUUUCUCUGUUUCUUUGGGUCUUUAUAUCUGAAGGCUCCUGGCCUAUGUAAAACUCACAUUAAGUAAAUUUGUAGGCUUGUCUCUUCUUAAUUCGUUUUUAUAAGGACCUCAGUCAUGAGCCUAGAGAUAGAAAAGAAAGAUGUUUCUUUUCCCCUAUAGCAUAUUCAAAAGUGUAAAUGAAGUUUAUUCAGGGUCCUUAGUUUUACCAACUAUUUUUUUCUUUCUUGGAUAUACAAAUCUUUAAUACACUAAAUGCAGCUUCUAUAAUUUUAAACAAAUACAUUCUUCAAACCAAACCAAAGAUAGAAUAACUUUUAUAAAACAGGAGACACUUUAGAGGUAUAGUUAGCAGAUAUUUGUAAUUUUCAUGUGUUUGCAG